AGAUAGCUUGGAAAAAGCAGCCAGCAUUUUUGUAGGGGUAGAUGAGGAUACUGGGGUGGCGGUAGUGUCAAGUAAAGUGUAUGUUUCGGAUUGGUAACUUUAAUGGCAAAGGCCAGAUUAUUUUGCCAUGUUUUGAUAUCAUUGAGUUCACUGCAAUGCGUCUCUGUCAUUUUUUUUUUUUCUCCAUAACACAUAAGACUGAAUAUUAAUAAAAUGGAAGUAGAAUUGUCAAGUUGCGCUGUCAUUUGAAGUUGGCAUAUAGGCAGUGUCUGAUUCUGGCGUAGGGGAUUUUGUUCAUUUACUAAUAUGGGUUGGAGUCACACAAAGGCCUCUUCAUCUUAGCUAGAAGCCCAUCUGCCCAGAACACAUAAGACUGAAUAUUAAUAAAA
rnacentral:misc_RNA from 1 species